ACACUCAAACCUUCUCAGGGUACCAGUUAUCUCUUGGUUUCCCUGUGAAGGUGUCUUGCUCCAUGAUUUGCCUUGCUCAGUGUGAUUGGAUAGAAGUUAAAUCUGAGAAGGGAGGGGGACACCAUUGAGUGACUCUAUGUAAUUGUUGCCAUUGGCUGUAACCACCCAGAUAGGGCCUGCUUUUUCAGCCUGCUUCUCAGAACCAAAAGGGUGUGCAGAUGAGAAACCACUGAGUAGAAAAGGAUCGUAAUAUGAACAAAGCAUGUCAAGAGGAGCUGGGGAGAAGGUGAAGGCUUGCCAUGGUCAAGCUGGCCUGAGCCAUUCCUGGGACUAUCUUUAGUUUCUAUUGCUGUGAUAAAACACUAUGACCAAAGGCAAGGUGGAGAAGGAAAGGUUUAUUUCAACUUACAACUCUUGGUUGACUCUAUCACUGAGAGAAUUUGAGGCAUAAACUCAAGGAAAGAACCUGGAGGUAGCAACUGAAGGCAUGGGCUGGAGAAGACUGCUCUUACUGGUUUGUUCCUCAUGGUUUGUCCAGGCUGCUUUCUUAUACAACUCAGGACCACCCAUCUGUAACUCCAGCUUCAGGGGAUAAUCUGAUACCUCUUUUUGGCUCCAAGAACAGCAGGCAUACACCUGGUAUAUACACAUAAAUGCAGGCAAAACAUUCAUACAUGUAAAAUAAUUAAAUCAUAUAUAUAUAUAUAUAUAUAUAUAUAUUUUUUUUUUUUUUAAGUGCUGGAGAGAUGGCUCAGUGGGUGAAGUGCUUGUUGCACAAGCAUGAACACUUGAGUUCGGUUUCUCAAGCAGUCACGUAAAAAGCUGGGUGUGGCAGCACGUGUCUGUAACUCCAGUGCUUGGGGGAUGGGGGCAGGCAGAGCCCGUGGGCCAGCAUGUUUAGCCAGGCUGGGGAGAUGAAUGAGUGGGCAAAAGAGCUUUCACACAAUCCUGAUGACUUGAGUUAGGAGCUCUAGAAUCCAUACAGAAAGGCUGGAUGCAAUAGUACAGCAUCCAUGCUGUGUGCAGGCACAGUAGUGGUGCUGGUGAUGAUGGUUUGGUGAUGGGGUAGGUACUGCUGUUGGUUACUAUUUGUGUGUUCCACAUCUCCCCGGCUCUCUCACAUACAUCUCAGAUCACUUUGUUUUGACCCCCACAUCUAUAGUGGCCUCCAAAUGACUACAGGAUACAGCACACCCACCUUCCUUCCUGGGCUCCUUUUGAGGUUGCUUCUGUUUUCAUUCAGUGACUGCUCCCUUACUUCGCUGAAUACAUUCUGGUGUCAACAGGAGGAGGCGCCUUCCGUUGAACAAGCCCCACUCAGUGGUCUCACUUCUUGUCUUCAAUCAAAUGCUUCCUCUUUCACCAAGGCAGCCACCCUCACAGCUAACUUCUUUGUUUCUUCCCACAGGAGGACGGCUUUGUGUCUCUAGCGUUUCUUUCAUGGAGCAUUUUGCAGUUAGUGGCACAAAACUGUACACUCAGUACAGUGUUAGGGACUUUUGGGCACUCAGAAGGGUUGUGUUAAGCUCACCAAAUACAUGGCCUCUAAAUUUUGCAGAAAUAAGCAUCCCACUGUGUGUGUGUGCGUGUGUAUGCAUGCAUAUGUUUUGAGACAGGGUCUCAAGUAGCCCAGGCAGAUCUUGAAUCCACUGGAUAGCUGAAGAUGACCUCAAACUCUAAAUCCUCUAAACUUCAUCUCCCAAGUGCUGAGAUUACAGGCAUGCACCACCACACCUGGCUUCCUAAUUUAUGCAUGGUUCUUCCUAUAAUUUGGAUCUUGAGAUGAUCCUCAAGGGCCUAUGUGAUGAAGGCUGGCUCCUCAGGAGGCACUGUUGAGAGGUGGUGGGACCUUUAAGAGCUGGCGCCAAGUGGAAGGUGUACUGUGGGACCCCUACCCCUUCCUCUUCCUCUUUUGCUUCCUGGCCACGGCUUCCGGUGCUUUGCUUUGCAUCUCCACUCUGUACUGCCUGACCCCAAGAUCCAAAGCAGGGUCAGUAGACCCCAGACUGGGACUGCUAAGACAAAAGAAAUCGUUUCUAUUUCCAUCUCACAGGUGUUUCUUCUAGAGACAAUGCUGACUAACAUAGCUGGGCAGCCUUUCCUCAUUACCUCCAUUGUAAAUCAACAGUAUUUCCUUCCUACCCUGAACUGGGCCCGGGGGGGGGGAUGAUGUUUGGCUUCUUCAAACUAUGAUGAGGUUCAUCAUGCUCAGGCCCUGUCAAUUAAAGUGCACUGCGUCAAGCCCGUGGGGGAAGGGAAGCAUGGUAGCUGCUUGGCUUUAGCAUGACCUGAGAUGAGGCCAGUGAAGAUUCAGUAGGUUUUCUCUCUUCUUUCUUGUGAACUAAUGAGCUUAUGAGGCCCACUUACAGGAGCAUUAGCUAGAGACUUCUUACUCAAGCAUUGGGACUUAAUUCAGCCCCAUCCUACCCUGGGUCACUACAAAAGCUACAUCUGUGGGAAUCACUAACAGCAGAGAAAAAGAGCCCUUCCCUAUUCAGAGGUGAUGGAGGCCUCCAGGUACCAGCUGGAGUUGAUCUGUUAUGUAAACCAGGCAUUGGCUCCCCAACCUGUCUGUCCACUGAUCUGCCCUGACUGCCUGUCUCACUACUAGGUUUUAAAUUUCUUGUGACCAGGAGGAUACAGCUCAUUUGAACUAACUGCCCUCAUCUAUUUAUCCAGUCCCUUGGGGGUAAGGCAAAAAUGUGGGGCAAACUCUAUCCAAUUGUUUCCCUCCCUCCCCUCCUCCAGGAAAAGGCUACCCCUGUAAUUAUAAGCCUGCUUCGGUGCCCAAUACCCUUGGGCUCCUCCUCCAUUAGCCCCACUGUGCUGGUCCCACCCCUUCCCUGUGGGUCAUGAAAGGGUGUGACCUCCUUCAGUUCUGCCGCCACAAUGCUCGCACCCGCUGCUCUCUUCCACCCUCAGCCUAUACUCCCUCUAUAAUGGCUAAUGCAUUCGCAUAAGGUUCAGAGACAAAAACUAGGCUGAUCUCCGUGGCUGCAGUUCUGAUGACGUUUGUUCGGCAAGUUGUGAUAAAAUGCGGUUUUAUCUGGCCUUUGUUUUUAUUCACCUCAUUCUGUUAACACCCAAUAGAAAACCUUGUGUUUGUGUCUGAGGGAUGGACCCCGACCUCGCCCAAUUUCCCACAUUCCUGAAUGAUUCUUUGCAUCCUUUCCUCUCAGACUUUAACAAAUCACUGCUUCUGGUGUGCGUGAAAGGUUAAGAGGGCAGAAGAAAAGGUAGGAUUUGAAGAGCCGGAUCAAAAGCAAAGCUUAAUCUUUUGGACAACAUUUUUCAAAAUGGGGUUAAAAUUGACAUGGAUCGCAUUAAGGGCGAAGCAACUGAGAACCCAGGAAACCGCAUGUCGAGAAGCACGUAAAACAAAAAUAAAAACGAUGCACCCUCC
rnacentral:lncRNA from 1 species